rnacentral:rRNA from 1 species
AUUGAACGCUGGCGGCAGGCCUAACACAUGCAAGUCGAGCGGAUGAAGGGAGCUUGCUCCUGGAUUCAGCGGCGGACGGGUGAGUAAUGCCUAGGAAUCUGCCUUGUAGUUGGGGAUAACGUCCGGAAACGGGCGCUAAUACCGCAUACGUCCUGAUGUUGAACGUGGGGGAUCUUCGGACCUCAAGCUAUCAGAUGAGCCUAGGUCGGAUUAGCUAGUUGGUGUGGUAAAGGCCUACCAAGGCGACGAUCCGUAACUGGUCUGAGAGGAUGAUCAGUCACACUGGAACUGAGACACGGUCCAGACUCCUACGGGAGGCAGCAGUGGGGAAUAUUGGACAAUGGGCGAAAGCCUGAUGCAGCCAUGCCGCGUGUGUGAAGAAGGUCUUCGGAUUGUAAAGCACUUUAAGUUGGGAGGAAGGGCAGUAAGUUAAUACCUUGCUGUUUUGACGUUACCAACAGAGUAAGCACCGGCUAACUUCGUG